rnacentral:rRNA from 1 species
UACGGGGGGGCAAGCGUUGUUCGGAAUUACUGGGCGUAAAGGGCGCGUCGGCGGUCAGACCAAGUCGAGUGUGAAAUUCCAGGGCUUAACUCUGGCACGCUCGCUCGAUACUGGUCGGCUAGAGUGUGGAAGAGGAUGCUGGAAUUCCCGGUGUAGAGGUGAAAUUCGUAGAUAUCGGGAGGAACACCGGUGGCGAAGGCGGCGACCUGGGUCGAUACUGACGCUGAGGUGCGAAAGCGUGGGGAGCAAACAGG